AUCUGUCACAUAUAGAGAAGCAAACUUUUCAAGGUUAUGGACAAUGUGGCAAGGCACUGCAUGUUGAGCAGCUGCGCCACAUUUCUCUGCUGCUGCAGUUGCGCUCGCCGGUGAUCACUGUAAAAAAAGAACUCGGGAAGUUGUUGUCACUUAAGCCGAGUCCCUCACAGUUAUUAUGCACCGCGUUUGCAUAUCUCCCAGCUCAUACAGCUGCGUGAUUGCAUUUGCCAUUAGAAGGCUGCGUCACAGUCCCCCCCUUAUUGGUUUGAAAUUCCAUUAAACAUAUUGCUCGAGCUCCCAGGUUAAGCUUGAUUUAAAUUUGCAUACAUUUUCAUACAUUUGGGAGAAAUAAAAAGAAGGCUGCAGCAGCCACCAGAAAGUCAUUAAAGAGCGCCCGGGAAGAGGGCAGAGGCAGAAGCAGCGCCGAGGAGACCGGAGAAGAGGCCGGAGCAGGUGCUGUUUGAUCCACCAGGAGAGCCUGGUCCAUCGUUCCUGAGUCAGUCAAGGAGCCACUUUUGAGCCUCCUGGAGAGAGAGAGAGAGCACUGGAAGAGGAAAACGUGGAGAAACCCAAACGGGUGCUCUCCAGCACCUCUCCACCUCCUCCCUCGUCUUCUCCUCUUCCGAGCCGAGAGCGGAGAGGGACUCGUUGCCGAGGCCUCCGAUGGAUGGCACCUCCGCGCCGAGCAGAAAAGAGGCCAAAGUUGCUCCAAAAAAACUUCCCAGAUGAAAUCGGCUUCCCUCCUGGAAAUCUCGCUAACAAGUCAAACGCGGUCGAUGUUUAAUGAAUGGGCCCCGCGAGUUUCGGUGCAGGAUGUGAGCAAGUUCUCUGCCACCGCUACACAACCAGCCAACAUACUUUCCCCCUGUGGAGAACAAACCCACCCACCCACACACACACACACACACAUACACACAUACACACACACACACACACACACACACACACACACACACACACACACACACACACACACACACACACACACACGCACGCACACCGACAGGUCCCUCUGAAGGAGCAGGCGGAGCAGUUGCACAUCUGCAUUUCAAACGCAGACUCUCUGGGAUUCAUUAUUAAUUAGCCUGCUGAGCCCUGGAGGACUGGUGAUGCUGCCGUCUCUCUCUCGCACACAGCAAAACACACGAAAAGGCUCACGCACAGACACACACGCCCGCACACACUCCCCGUGACCCCUGUGCCCCCUCUACACUUUAGAAAGUCCUCGGCAGAAUACUGAGCCAGGCAGGAGCGUUGCUUUCCUCCGUCCAAUCGCGUCGCAUCUUCCUAAUGCCUGGUAAGGAUGAUGAAUUACACGGGCAGAUUGCUUCUUAUGCUGUGUUUUAUUCAAUAUACACGUUCAACACAGCGGAGUCUGGAGCGUUGCCUCAGUCAGCGUUACAAAGCCUCUCUGUAUUUCGGCGCUGCUGUUUCUUUGAAGCAAAAUAAGUUGCGUUUUGUUUGCCUCUAAUUUGGGACUGCGUUUCCGUAGCGCGAUCUCCUGCCUCAGCAGCAGCAGCAGCAGCAGCAGACAGAGGCAGAUCAGAAACGCACUCAGCGGUUAUGCAUGAGCAACGUCUCCAGGGUCCGAGAGAGACAUCAAAAAAGCGCUGCGGCGGGAACGCUCUGUCCACAAUGCACGUCCCACCGGUGUGCAAGAAGUUGAGCUGCCUGCGCGGUUUACCAAAAUAAACACAGCGCAAAGGAAAGAAAUUUCCCCGUGCUGCAGGUUUUAGCCUGUUGAGGAGCUCCACGGCGGGAUUAGUAUGCAGCGAGCGGAGGCAGAGAUCAUUGAAGAGCGUCAGAUUCUGUCGUACUUGUGAUUGGGUUGUGAGAUGACUUCUAAUACAGUAGGAUGCGUCUUCCUCUCGGUUCAGAUCCGGCUCGCACGCCCAAUGAACUUCUCCAGCGCAAAUUAGAGCACGACGAGAUAAGAAAAGAAAGGUGCUGAGAAAAUGAUACAUGGUUUUCGAAAGGUUUUUACAAAUAUAAAUUCAAAAGAGGUGGCUCGCAUUUGCAUUCAGACCCUCCCCGACUCGAUGGUUUCUACAAAUACCGUUUGAUGCUGUUGUAGCUGCAAGUCUUCAGGGCAUGCCUCUGUCGGCUUCGCACGUCUUGACACUCGCAUCUUAUUCCCAUUCUUCUUCACAAAAUCGCCUCAGCUCAGUCGGAUUGGAUGGAGGGCAUCUGUUAAUGGCAAGGUGCCACAGAAUCCCAAUAGGAAUAAGGUCUCGACUUUGGUUGGGCCAAUCUAAUACCCCGACCAUUAAACCAUUAAACAGCAGCUCUGGGGUUGUUUUCCCAAUAGAAGGUGAAUCUCCGCUCAAGUCUCAAACCUUUUGAUGGAUAUCUUUCAGGAUUGCUUAUGACAUCACCUAUCAUUUCAUCAGUUCUGUACAGGUUCCCUGUCCCUGCUGAGGAGGAGCAUUCCCACAGCAGGAUGCUGCUACCACCAUGCUUCACUGCAGACAUGGUCCCAUCAGAGUGAAGCGUAACAUCAGUGUUUUGAGUGAAGGCAACAGUAGAGAGUCUUUGUCUCGUUUGACCAGAGCAACUUCUUCCACUUGUUUGCUGUGGCUAUUGGCCACUUGCUAACAGGAAAACGUAUGGCUUUGUUUCAGUAAUAGUCUUUCUUCUUGCCGCUCUGCCACCGAGGCCAGAUUUGUUGUUGGACACAACGGAUAGCAGUCGAUUUUAACUAGUGUUGCGCCGAUGCCAUUUUUUGGCCCCGAUACCUGGCCGUGCAGUAUUGGCCGAUACUGAU